rnacentral:ncRNA from 25 species
CUUCGCCCAAAUGCAAUAAGUCUCAGCAUUAUGCUUUAGGGAAGUUGGUGCAAAUCCAACACUGCCCCCGCAACGGUAAAACGAAACGUAUAUCUUUAUAAGUGCUUGCACUUACAUCACUGCACUCGUGUGGGAAGAUGGGUAUACCAAUAUUGUUCGCAAUAUUUAUAUUUAAGUCCGGAGACCUGCUUAUUGCGCCGUUUAACUC